rnacentral:lncRNA from 1 species
GGGCUUUACUGAGUUUAACUUGUUGGUUCUUCUCUCAGUUGCCCUGGCCUGGACACAGGGAGGCUGCUGCAAACUUCAGAUGUCACACUGCAAAUUCCAGUGUCUGAAAAGUGUUCCUUCUUGCUACUACAAGACACAGGGUUGGGGAGAAGAAGAAUUCAGAUUGAGGUGAGUCUACAAUAUCUUUUAGCAAUCAUCUCCAUGGUGAGGUGGAUAAUUAUGUUCUCUUAUUUUAUACAAAAAGUUAUUGCAUCUAUUUUUCACAGAGACCUGAUCAUCCUUCCAUCUACCAGAAGAACUUAAGAAACAGAAUCAAUCAUUCAUAGUCCUCAAAUAACCAAAAAUUGACUUGAGGUUCCACUAACAAGAGCUCUUUAGGAUGAAGUUUGUAAAUCAAG